AUUGAACGCUGGCGGCAGGCCUAACACGUGCAAGUCGGGCGGUAGCACAGGAGAGCUUGCUCUCCGGGUGACGAGCGGCGGACGGGUGAGUAAUGUCUGGGAAACUGCCUGAUGGAGGGGGAUAACUACUGGAAACGGUAGCUAAUACCGCAUAACGUCGCAAGACCAAAGAGGGGGACCUUCGGGCCUCUUGCCAUCGGAUGUGCCCAGAUGGGAUUAGCUAGUAGGUGAGGUAAAGGCUCACCUAGGCGACGAUCCCUGGCUGGUCUGAGAGGAUGACCAGCCACACUGGAACUGAGACACGGUCCAGACUCCUACGGGAGGCAGCAGUGGGGAAUAUUGCACAAUGGGCGCAAGCCUGAUGCAGCCAUGCCGCGUGUAUGAAGAAGGCCUUCGGGUUGUAAAGUACUUUCAGCGGGGAGGAAGGUGUUGUGGUUAAUAACCACAGCAAUUGACGUUACCCGCAGAAGAAGCACCGGCUAACUCCGUGCCAGCCGCCGCAGUAA
rnacentral:rRNA from 1 species